CAACUGCAGCUUUAAAGCUUAGGACUAGCCACAACAUCAAAACACGCUAAACGCAGGAAAAUGAUAUUUCGGAAAGUUGUCCGCUUUCGUCGACAAUUUCUACCAUUUUAUAUGUUCAAUGGAUUCUUGUGACAACGCAACGACACGCGUUAUCAACGCUUGCGUUAUAACAAUUGCGACAACAUUCAACAAAGGCGGGAACUAACACACAACAGCCUACUAGACAACGAUGUAAGCCGCAACGUGGUUAUCAAUAUUGACAACUGUGCGCUUUAUAGCACCAAU